CUCCAAGACAUAGUUGAAGCUCCAGCCUCAGUGGCCAACACUGAUGGCCCACCCAUGCCUGCUGCUCCUCUAAAGAACUGCUAAAAUUCCCUGCACACACCUUCACACACACAGGUGCAGAAGCCAAAUCAGAUGGGUAGUAAAACACACCUUCAUCUGUCAACAUGCCAUGUCAUUGGAUUCAAAUGGUAAAAGUGAGUUUGGGGAGGCCAUUGACAGCUAAGGGCCUUCAGCUCAUCAAAGGGAAAAAACAAAAAUUCCUAGUAUCUAAUCUAAGUCUUAACACAGGCUAUUUUGAGCUUCCCUUUGAGUUAACCUUUAAGGGUGUAUAUGCCCAAGGAAUCCUAGGUGAAACUGUAGUGCAAUUGCAUAGGAAUAUCUGACGGAGAGAGGGCUGAAACACAUUCCUGUGAUGUUAGCAAGUUUGUUCCCAGAGCGUCUAAAGGGGAAGCAGAAGAUAUUCAUCCUCAGAUGCUCACAGCCACUGACAAAGCACCCAGCAACAUGGUGGCAAUGAGAAUGGCAUUGCUGUUUGAUGGGCUUGGGAUGGAAUCCUGGCUCUGUCAUUUACUCAGCAUGGGACCUGGUGACCCUUGGAAAAGUUAGAGUCAGGUGCCACCAACUCAGUUUCCUCAAUUAUACAAUAGUAAUUAAAAUGCCCACCUCAUAGUGGUACUUCGUGAAUGAAAGAAAGAUGAUGCAUGCAGAGUGCUUACCAGUGACUGGCAGGUAAAAACUCACUAAAUGGUAGCUGUUUUAAUAUUGUGCUUCAGAACUAACUUUCUAGUAAGUGGCCCUUUACAUAAGGACCCAAAUGAACAUAAGCAUAAGUUAAAUUCCAUUUUCAUCCUCCAAAUAUCUGUUAGCAAAGGAAGCGGGGACAUCUAGGCAAAACGUGGAUUAAAGAAUGUCGUUUCUUAUCACUUCAUUUAGGUCAUGGUACAAGCUGAAGGUAAAAAGUAUCUAUAGGGGUGCAUUCUGAUAGCCUGUCAUUCUCACCUAAGCAAAUCAGAUCCUCCCAAGUGGGGGAAGAACAGAACUUCCAAAGAUGGUCCCAGUCUAAGCCACCCACACCAAGUAAAGAGACAUUCUAAAGUUGCAGCCAAUCCUGAGAAAUAGCCACAUUGGCUAUCUCUUAUGGGGCCACCUGGUAUCAUCUUGAUUCUUAAUGAGAAUGACCGGUCAUUCAGGGACUGGGCUCCCCAUGCAUAGGUAACCCCCCAAACUUCUAAAAUCAUCUCGCUAAAAGAGAACUGAACUCUUAUAUUUCAACCACAGCAUAGGCACCUAAUCCCACCUACCAAAUUAUAAUCAUUUUGCAUCAGCCAUUUCCAUACUUGUGGCCUGUAAGUUUCAAUUACUUUAGGGGACAGUCAAGUAACAAAGAAGGAGAGUUUCUUUAUAAGAAGGCCUCCAUUAUGGAGCUUCUGUCUCAGAAAAGCAGUCAUCCUGCCAAGACCCUACUAGAGCAUAUAGUUCAUAAAUGUUUAUUGAGCAGUUGACUGAUUCAUUGAUUCAUAAAUGUAGUUAUUCAACAAAUGCAUACUGGGCACUUACUUCUGCAAGGCUCAAAGGCCAGAGAUGAUUAAGAGACAGUCCCUGAUCUAAAGAAACUCAAAAUCUAAUGGAAGAGUAUAAAAAAGCUGACAAUAAUAUUAGGAAGAACAAAAUACAUACUCCAGAUGAGCUGCAAGUGAAUUGCUGUGAAAGCUCAGCGGGAGGAGCAGUUUCCCGGCAUAGAGAAAACACUCAAUAAGAUGCUGGUAAAUGAAGGCUGAUGGAGCUGGUGAGCGCUUGGCUACUGGUGAAAUACUGGCUCCCAGACAUGCUCUGCAAAGCAGCCUCAUCUUGGCCCACUCCACUUCUGCACCACCUCUGCCCACCACAGACCCCCACCUGAGGCCCUGUGAUGGGCUCUGACCUUAGCAGAGCUGGCCUGAUUCCUUGCAGCAUUCUGAGCUCUUCCUCUCUCUAUUGAAUGCAGGCCAAGCAUUGAUCUUCCAGCAUCAUCAACAUGCCACAUCACUUUGCAAAACCUGCAUCUUACAGGCUAAGCUAAUAACCCCCAAGGGAUCUUAGGCAGGAGGCUCAGGUUGCAGAAAAAUUGGUUCAGUUCUGAGCCCUGUUGUGACUAAUAUUUUCUACCUUCUAUUAAAUGAGGAUCUUAUCAAUCUGGGGGCUUCUUUUGCUCUGCAUAGGAAAUUGAAUAGAGAGAAGUACAAGACAGCAAAAAGGGGAAGGAGUGAAACACAUAGCAGCAUCGGGAAUUUUGUCAAGAGACAUAGAAGUGCCCAGCAGUUGACAGUUUCUCUGUUGUACAAAUAGAAGCAGCCUGUUGACUUAAUACAAUAAAAUCCCAGGGGCACUCUGUGAUGUUUCAUAAUCAUGUCUGGGACUUGCAGUUUUGAGAUUUGCAAAGCUUUAUUCUAAUGGCAAAGUGGAACCAAAGCAGACCCUUUGAAAGAGGUGACCUCAGCAGCCCUGUGGGUCAGGGGAGCAGGGUGUGGCCCAGGGGACCUUGGGAAGGGUCCCCUCAAGGCAUCGGCACAAGGCAGAGGAAGGGUCAGGGUCUGUAGGGGAAGGUCUGGAUUUGGGUCCUGGCUCUCUACAAACCAGACAUAAAACCUUAGAUAAAUCACUUCACCUUUGUGAACCUCAGCCUUCUCAGUGCAGUGGUAUUGACAUUAACAACUAAUUGAUCACAAGCAGUUACAGAUUUAUUUGUUCCUUCUCCACUCCCACUCCUUCACUUGACUAUCCUUGGAAACAAAGUGGGAGUAGGCCGGACGCGGUGGCUUAUACCUGUAAUCCCAGUGCUUUG
rnacentral:lncRNA from 1 species